AACUGAAUCCAUAGGUUAAUGAGGCGAACCGGGGGAACUGAAACAUCUAAGUACCCCGAGGAAAAGAAAUCAACCGAGAUUCCCCCAGUAGCGGCGAGCGAACGGGGAGGAGCCCAGAGCCUGAAUCAGUGUGUGUGUUAGUGGAAGCGUCUGGAAAGGCGCGCGAUACAGGGUGACAGCCCCGUACACAAAAAUGCACAUAUUGUGAGCUCGAUGAGUAGGGCGGGACACGUGGUAUCCUGUCUGAAUAUGGGGGGACCAUCCUCCAAGGCUAAAUACUCCUGACUGACCGAUAGUGAACCAGUACCGUGAGGGAAAGGCGAAAAGAACCCCGGCGAGGGGAGUGAAAAAGAACCUGAAACCGUGUACGUACAAGCAGUGGGAGCCUCUUAAUGGGGUGACUGCGUACCUUUUGUAUAAUGGGUCAGCGACUUAUAUUCUGUAGCAAGGUUAACCGAAUAGGGGAGCCGAAGGGAAACCGAGUCUUAACUGGGCGUUAAGUUGCAGGGUAUAGACCCGAAACCCGGUGAUCUAGCCAUGGGCAGGUUGAAGGUUGGGUAACACUAACUGGAGGACCGAACCGACUAAUGUUGAAAAAUUAGCGGAUGACUUGUGGCUGGGGGUGAAAGGCCAAUCAAACCGGGAGAUAGCUGGUUCUCCCCGAAAGCUAUUUAGGUAGCGCCUCGUGAAUUCAUCUCCGGGGGUAGAGCACUGUUUCGGCAAGGGGGUCAUCCCGACUUACCAACCCGAUGCAAACUGCGAAUACCGGAGAAUGUUAUCACGGGAGACACACGGCGGGUGCUAACGUCCGUCGUGAAGAGGGAAACAACCCAGACCGCCAGCUAAGGUCCCAAAGUCAUGGUUAAGUGGGAAACGAUGUGGGAAGGCCCAGACAGCCAGGAUGUUGGCUUAGAAGCAGCCAUCAUUUAAAGAAAGCGUAAUAGCUCACUGGUCGAGUCGGCCUGCGCGGAAGAUGUAACGGGGCUAAACCAUGCACCGAAGCUGCGGCAGCGACACUAUGUGUUGUUGGGUAGGGGAGCGUUCUGUAAGCCUGUGAAGGUGGCCUGUGAGGGUUGCUGGAGGUAUCAGAAGUGCGAAUGCUGACAUAAGUAACGAUAAAGCGGGUGAAAAGCCCGCUCGCCGGAAGACCAAGGGUUCCUGUCCAACGUUAAUCGGGGCAGGGUGAGUCGACCCCUAAGGCGAGGCCGAAAGGCGUAGUCGAUGGGAAACAGGUUAAUAUUCCUGUACUUGGUGUUACUGCGAAGGGGGGACGGAGAAGGCUAUGUUGGCCGGGCGACGGUUGUCCCGGUUUAAGCGUGUAGGCUGGUUUUCCAGGCAAAUCCGGAAAACCAAGGCUGAGGCGUGAUGACGAGGCACUACGGUGCUGAAGCGACAAAUGCCCUGCUUCCAGGAAAAGCCUCUAAGCAUCAGGUAACAUCAAAUCGUACCCCAAACCGACACAGGUGGUCAGGUAGAGAAUACCAAGGCGCUUGAGAGAACUCGGGUGAAGGAACUAGGCAAAAUGGUGCCGUAACUUCGGGAGAAGGCACGCUGAUAUGUAGGUGAAGCGACUUGCUCGUGGAGCUGAAAUCAGUCGAAGAUACCAGCUGGCUGCAACUGUUUAUUAAAAACACAGCACUGUGCAAACACGAAAGUGGACGUAUACGGUGUGACGCCUGCCCGGUGCCGGAAGGUUAAUUGAUGGGGUUAGCGGCAACGCGAAGCUCUUGAUCGAAGCCCCGGUAAACGGCGGCCGUAACUAUAACGGUCCUAAGGUAGCGAAAUUCCUUGUCGGGUAAGUUCCGACCUGCACGAAUGGCGUAAUGAUGGCCAGGCUGUCUCCACCCGAGACUCAGUGAAAUUGAACUCGCUGUGAAGAUGCAGUGUACCCGCGGCAAGACGGAAAGACCCCGUGAACCUUUACUAUAGCUUGACACUGAACAUUGAGCCUUGAUGUGUAGGAUAGGUGGGAGGCUUUGAAGUGUGGACGCCAGUCUGCAUGGAGCCGACCUUGAAAUACCACCCUUUAAUGUUUGAUGUUCUAACGUUGGCCCCUAAUCGGGGUUGCGGACAGUGUCUGGUGGGUAGUUUGACUGGGGCGGUCUCCUCCUAAAGAGUAACGGAGGAGCACGAAGGUUGGCUAAUCCUGGUCGGACAUCAGGAGGUUAGUGCAAUGGCAUAAGCCAGCUUGACUGCGAGCGUGACGGCGCGAGCAGGUGCGAAAGCAGGUCAUAGUGAUCCGGUGGUUCUGAAUGGAAGGGCCAUCGCUCAACGGAUAAAAGGUACUCCGGGGAUAACAGGCUGAUACCGCCCAAGAGUUCAUAUCGACGGCGGUGUUUGGCACCUCGAUGUCGGCUCAUCACAUCCUGGGGCUGAAGUAGGUCCCAAGGGUAUGGCUGUUCGCCAUUUAAAGUGGUACGCGAGCUGGGUUUAGAACGUCGUGAGACAGUUCGGUCCCUAUCUGCCGUGGGCGCUGGAGAACUGAGGGGGGCUGCUCCUAGUACGAGAGGACCGGAGUGGACGCAUCACUGGUGUUCGGGUUGUCAUGCCAAUGGCACUGCCCGGUAGCUAAAUGCGGAAGAGAUAAGUGCUGAAAGCAUCUAAGCACGAAACUUGCCCCGA
rnacentral:rRNA from 1 species